CUCUAGAUUAGAGUUUGAUCCUGGCUCAGAUUGAACGCUGGCGGCAGGCCUAACACAUGCAAGUCGAACGGUAGCACAGAGAGCUUGCUCUCGGGUGACGAGUGGCGGACGGGUGAGUAAUGUCUGGGAAACUGCCUGAUGGAGGGGGAUAACUACUGGAAACGGUAGCUAAUACCGCAUAAUGUCGCAAGACCAAAGAGGGGGACCUUCGGGCCUCUUGCCAUCAGAUGUGCCCAGAUGGGAUUAGCUAGUAGGUGGGGUAACGGCUCACCUAGGCGACGAUCCCUAGCUGGUCUGAGAGGAUGACCAGCCACACUGGAACUGAGACACGGUCCAGACUCCUACGGGAGGCAGCAGUGGGGAAUAUUGCACAAUGGGCGCAAGCCUGAUGCAGCCAUGCCGCGUGUAUGAAGAAGGCCUUCGGGUUGUAAAGUACUUUCAGCGGGGAGGAAGGUGUUGUGGUUAAUAACCACAGCAAUUGACGUUACCCGCAGAAGAAGCACCGGCUAACUCCGUGCCAGCAGCCGCGGUAAUACGGAGGGUGCAAGCGUUAAUCGGAAUUACUGGGCGUAAAGCGCACGCAGGCGGUCUGUCAAGUCGGAUGUGAAAUCCCCGGGCUCAACCUGGGAACUGCAUUCGAAACUGGCAGGCUAGAGUCUUGUAGAGGGGGGUAGAAUUCCAGGUGUAGCGGUGAAAUGCGUAGAGAUCUGGAGGAAUACCGGUGGCGAAGGCGGCCCCCUGGACAAAGACUGACGCUCAGGUGCGAAAGCGUGGGGAGCAAACAGGAUUAGAUACCCUGGUAGUCCACGCCGUAAACGAUGUCGAUUUGGAGGUUGUGCCCUUGAGGCGUGGCUUCCGGAGCUAACGCGUUAAAUCGACCGCCUGGGGAGUACGGCCGCAAGGUUAAAACUCAAAUGAAUUGACGGGGGCCCGCACAAGCGGUGGAGCAUGUGGUUUAAUUCGAUGCAACGCGAAGAACCUUACCUGGUCUUGACAUCCACAGAACUUAGCAGAGAUGCUUUGGUGCCUUCGGGAACUGUGAGACAGGUGCUGCAUGGCUGUCGUCAGCUCGUGUUGUGAAAUGUUGGGUUAAGUCCCGCAACGAGCGCAACCCUUAUCCUUUGUUGCCAGCGGUUAGGCCGGGAACUCAAAGGAGACUGCCAGUGAUAAACUGGAGGAAGGUGGGGAUGACGUCAAGUCAUCAUGGCCCUUACGACCAGGGCUACACACGUGCUACAAUGGCGCAUACAAAGAGAAGCGACCUCGCGAGAGCAAGCGGACCUCAUAAAGUGCGUCGUAGUCCGGAUUGGAGUCUGCAACUCGACUCCAUGAAGUCGGAAUCGCUAGUAAUCGUAGAUCAGAAUGCUACGGUGAAUACGUUCCCGGGCCUUGUACACACCGCCCGUCACACCAUGGGAGUGGGUUGCAAAAGAAGUAGGUAGCUUAACCUUCGGGAGGGCGCUUACCACUUUGUGAUUCAUGACUGGGGUGAAGUCGUAACAAGGUAACCGUA
rnacentral:rRNA from 1 species